rnacentral:rRNA from 1 species
GACAGAGGUGCCGAGCGUUAGGCGGAAUCACUGGGCUUAAAGCGUGUGUAGGCGGGCGGACAAGUACCUUGGGAAAUCCCACGGCUCAACCGUGGAACUGCUGGGUAUACUGUUUGUCUUGAGCCAGCUAGGGGCGACCGGAACAGACGGUGGAGCGGUGAAAUGCGUAGAUAUCGUCUGGAACGCCAAAGGUGAAAACAGGUCGCUGGGGCUGAGCUGACGCUGAGACACGAAAGCCAGGGGAGCGAACGGG